UACUAGUAUAUAUGAGAAUGAAUCUAAUACUACGGAUUAGAUUCAGUCGGAAGGCUAGGAUUAAAACAACUAAUGGAAACAUUGUAAUUCAACAUAAAUCAUCCACCUUCCCAUUUAAUGAUGAAACGCUAUUUUCUCUCUCCAAAAUUAGUUUCUACCACUUUUUCUCUCUCUCUCUCUCUCUCUCUCUCUCUCUCUCUCUCUCUCUCUCUUCAAUACUGCCAUUCCUCUCUCCUCAAAACCUCCAUAGAAGCUUGAACAUCUCCGAUUUCUCGUCAUUUUCUUGCCAAUUACAGCUGAAUAUUGUUGCUUCAAACCAAAUUAUUGCCGAUUUCAUCUAUAAUUCUUCUUAUUCUUGAAAAACUACGUGAAUUAAAACCUAGAAAUUCAAAAUUGAAGAUGACAAAAGAAAAAGAAGCUAGCUACAAAUCAAAGUGAAGAACCUAUGGAAUAAGAAAAAGGAAAAAGGUUCAUAUUCGAAGUGAGGAUGAAGUGCGCGAGAAUGAAGAUAAAAACACUACUUCUGAAUUGAAAACUACAAAAAAAUUCAUAGGGAAUAUUCAAAGGAAGGAAAUGAGAUUAAACACGCUAAAACAUCGGAGCCAGAGGGCAUUGGUAGCCCAAUUGCCGAAGAAUCACUUUUGAAGGACAUCCUUGAAAAUAUUGGUUUGAGAAAAUGAAGAGAUUGAUGGUUGAGUAUUGUGGUAAGAUAUUGACGCACAAGGAAAAUGAUGAGCGUCGUGUUAUGGUUUCAAAGUCAAGGAAAUGGGCAACAAAGAAUCAAAUUUAACGGAAUCAUAAUGUCUUUGUAACAUCAAAUGUUGAAUUUCUUGUAAAUACUUUAUGUUGAGUUCGUAAAAUUAGUAAACCGACAUUUUUUAUAUUGGAUGGUUUUGAUCAACUUGUAAUAGAUUCAAUUCAUUUUCAAA